UACAGAGGGUGCGAGCGUUAAUCGGAAUUACUGGGCGUAAAGCGUGCGUAGACGGUUAUUUAAGUCGGGUGUGAAAGCCCCGGGCUCAACCUGGGAAUUGCAUUCGAGACUGAAUAGCUAGGGUACGGUAGAGGGAAGCGGAAUUCCAGGUGUAGCGGUGAAAUGCGUAGAUAUCUGGAGGAAUACCGGUGGCGAAGGCGGCAUCCUGGACCGACAUUGACGCUGAACGGCGAAAGCUAGGGGAGCAAACGGG
rnacentral:rRNA from 1 species